ACGACCAGCCACACUGGGACUGAGACACGGCCCAGACUCCUACGGGAGGCAGCAGUGGGGAAUUUUGGACAAUGGGCGAAAGCCUGAUCCAGCCAUGCCGCGUGCAGGAUGAAGGCCUUCGGGUUGUAAACUGCUUUUGUACGGAACGAAACGGCCUUUUCUAAUAAAGAGGGCUAAUGACGGUACCGUAAGAAUAAGCACCGGCUAACUACGUGCCAGCAGCCGCGGUAAUACGUAGGGUGCAAGCGUUAAUCGGAAUUACUGGGCGUAAAGCGUGCGCAGGCGGUUAUGUAAGACAGUUGUGAAAUCCCCGGGCUCAACCUGGGAACUGCAUCUGUGACUGCAUAGCUAGAGUACGGUAGAGGGGGAUGGAAUUCCGCGUGUAGCAGUGAAAUGCGUAGAUAUGCGGAGGAACACCGAUGGCGAAGGCAAUCCCCUGGACCUGUACUGACGCUCAUGCACGAAAGCGUGGGGAGCAAAAAGGG
rnacentral:rRNA from 1 species